CGCUUCGGUCCGGAGUUGAUGGGUUAUCUUUGAUGAUGUUAUUGACUUUAUCUGGUGCCGCCAAUUAAUUAUCCGUUCGAAUUUCGAACAUCUUCUUCCGUUCCCAUAAAGAAUGGAAACCCCUCUUCCCAUCAACACCCCUUGACCGAAGC
rnacentral:sRNA from 1 species